AUUGAACGCUGGCGGCAUGCCUUACACAUGCAAGUCGAACGGUAACGCGGGGCAACCUGGCGACGAGUGGCGAACGGGUGAGUAACGCAUCGGAACGCGCCCAGUAGUGGGGGAUAGCCCGGCGAAAGCCGGAUUAAUACCGCAUACGACCUACGGGUGAAAGCGGGGGAUCGCACGACCUCGCGCUAUUGGAGCGGCCGAUGUCAGAUUAGGUAGUUGGUGGGGUAAAGGCCUACCAAGCCGACGAUCUGUAGCUGGUCUGAGAGGACGACCAGCCACACUGGGACUGAGACACGGCCCAGACUCCUACGGGAGGCAGCAGUGGGGAAUUUUGGACAAUGGGCGCAAGCCUGAUCCAGCCAUGCCGCGUGCGGGAUGAAGGCCUUCGGGUUGUAAACCGCUUUUGUCAGGGAAGAAACGCUCUGGGCUAAUACCCCGGGGUAAUGACGGUACCUGAAGAAUAAGCACCGGCUAACUACGUGCCAGCAGCCGCGGUAAUAC
rnacentral:rRNA from 1 species